GAUGAACGCUGACAGAAUGCUUAACACAUGCAAGUCGACUCGAGUCUUCGGACUUGGGUGGCGCACGGGUGAGUAACGCGUAAAGAACUUGCCUCUUAGACCGGGACAACAUCUGGAAACGGAUGCUAAUACCGGAUAUUAUGGUUUUUUCGCAUGGAGGAAUCAUGAAAGCUAGAUGCGCUAAGAGAGAGCUAUGCGUCCCAUUAGCUGGUUGGUGAGGUAACGGCCCACCAAGGCAAUGAUGGGUAGCCGGCCUGAGAGGGUGAACGGCCACAAGGGGACUGAGACACGGCCCUUACUCCUACGGGAGGCAGCAGUGGGGAAUAUUGGACAAUGGACCACAAGUCUGAUCCAGCAAUUCUGUGUGCACGAUGACGUUUUUCGGAAUGUAAAGUGCUUUCAGUCGGGAAGAAGUCAGUGACGGUACCGACAGAAGAAGCGACGGCUAAAUACGUGCCAGCAGCCGCGGUAAUACGUAUGUCGCAAGCGUUAUCCGGAUUUAUUGGGCGUAAAGCGCGUCUAGGCGGCAAGGAAAGUCUGAUGUGAAAAUGCGGAGCUCAACUCCGUAUGGCGUUGGAAACUGCCUUACUAGAGUACUGGAGAGGUAGGCGGAACUACAAGUGUAGAGGUGAAAUUCGUAGAUAUUUGUAGGAAUGCCGAUGGGGAAGCCAGCCUACUGGACAGAUACUGACGCUAAAGCGCGAAAGCGUGGGUAGCAAACAGG
rnacentral:rRNA from 1 species